AUAUAAAGUAACCGGUGGUGUUC
rnacentral:siRNA from 1 species